rnacentral:rRNA from 1 species
UACGAAGGGGGGCUAGCGUUGCUCGGAAUUACUGGGCGUAAAGGGAGCGUAGGCGGGUCGUCAAGUUGGGGGUGAAAGCCCAGGCUCAACCUUGGAAUUGCCUUCAAAACUGACGAUCUAGAGUAUGGAAGAGGUAAGUGGAACUCCGAGUGUAGAGGUGAAAUUCGUAGAUAUUCGGAAGAACACCAGUGGCGAAGGACGGCGCA